rnacentral:rRNA from 1 species
AGUGAACGCUGGCGGCAGGCCUAAUACAUGCAAGUCGAACGGCAGCACAGCAGAGCUUGCUCUGUGGGUGGCGAGUGGCGGACGGGUGAGGAAUACAUGGGAAUCUGCCCAGUCGUGGGGGAUAACGUAUGGAAACGUACGCUAAUACCGCAUGCGCCCUACGGGGGAAAUCGGGGACCGCAAGGCCUGACGCGAUUGGAUGAGCCCAUGUUCGAUUAGCUAGUUGGCGGGGUAAAGGCCCACCAAGGCGACGAUCGAUAGCUGGUCUGAGAGGAUGAUCAGCCACACUGGAACUGAGACACGGUCCAGACUCCUACGGGAGGCAGCAGUAGGGAAUAUUGGACAAUGGGGGCAACCCUGAUCCAGCCAUGCCGCGUGAGUGAAGAAGGCCCUCGGGUUGUAAAGCUCUUUUGUCCGGAAAGAAAGCAAUCGGUUAAUACCCGGUUGUUCUGACGGUACCGGAAGAAUAAGCACCGGCUAACUUCGUGCCAG